UACACAGGCAGCUGGCCUGUGGGUUCUGACCAGCUGGCUGACUUAGCGCUGGGCCCUUAAGGCUAAAUUGGCAGGGCCUGAAGAGGGAGACACUGAGGGCCUGUCAGAGAGCACCCAUCCAGGAGAAAACGGGCUUCAUCCUGGGGACAGAGCCAGGCCCUGCUGGAGACCCUAACAGGGUAAAAGUAAAGUUCUGUCUCCCCUACACCUUGAACCAGAGUGAAGCAUGAUGGAAGAGCAGAAGAGGAAGGCAUGGGAGAAAACUAACUAAGGGGGAACAUCCCUAACGUUGAACAUAAGCAUAACUGAACCUAGCGAUCUGAGAUGAAUAGUGUAGCCACACUGGAAGAAAAAAAAAAUAACCAACUGAAAUGACUUUUGGGCGCAGUACAUCGACUAUAAACAUCUUCAAGUCCAAAGAUAAGAACUGCAAACACAUACUGAACUGUCCCAUAGUAGGUAGGUCAAGAGGCGGAUGCUUGACUGACUGAGCCACCCAGGCGCCCCUGAACGAUUUUAUUUUUAAAGUCAUCUCUACACCCGACGUGGGGCUCGGACCUACAACCCUGAGAACACGAGUUGCACGCUCCACCGACUGAGCCCUCCAGUCUCAGUGUCCCUCAGUCUCGGCACACUUGACGUAUUUGGGGCUGUCGAAUCCUUUCUAAUGGGGGGCUCUCCUGUGCCCUGUCAAAAGUUUAGCAGCAUUCCUGCCCUCUGCGCCCUACAUACCGGUCGUAAACCCACCCAUCCUCCGUUGUGACUACCAGACAUGUCUCCAGAAAUUGCUAAAUGUCUCCCGGGAGGCAAAACUGCCUCUAGCUGAGAGAGCCACUGGAGCAGAAGACCCAUCAGAGAACACAUUUCAGAAAGGACCUGAAAAGCACAGAAAUCUGGAAACCAGAGGCUGACAACCAUCUAUAUAGUAAGGGUCAGCAAACUUUCUGUAAAGGGCUUAAACACGUAGUAAACGUUUUAGACUUUGAGAGACAUGUGGUCUCUGUUUUGCUGUAGUAGUAUGAAAGCAACCACAGACAGGGCCCAAAAGAAAGAGCUUGGCUGUAUUCCAGUAAAACUUCACUUACAGAUGAAAUCUAAAUUUCAUGUAAUUAUCACGUGUCACGAAA